GAUGAACGCUGGCGGCGUGCCUAAUACAUGCAAGUCGAGCGAACGGACGAGAAGCUUGCUUCUCUGAUGUUAGCGGCGGACGGGUGAGUAACACGUGGAUAACCCACCUAUAAGACUGGGAUAACUUCGGGAAACCGGAGCUAAUACCGGAUGAUAUUUUGAACCGCAUGGUUCAAAAGUGAAAGACGGUCUUGCUGUCACUUAUAGAUGGAUCCGCGCUGCAUUAGCUAGUUGGUAAGGUAACGGCUUACCAAGGCAACGAUGCAUAGCCGACCUGAGAGGGUGAUCGGCCACACUGGAACUGAGACACGGUCCAGACUCCUACGGGAGGCAGCAGUAGGGAAUCUUCCGCAAUGGGCGAAAGCCUGACGGAGCAACGCCGCGUGAGUGAUGAAGGUCUUCGGAUCGUAAAACUCUGUUAUUAGGGAAGAACAUAUGUGUAAGUAACUGUGCACAUCUUGACGGUACCUAAUCAGAAAGCCACGGCUAACUACGUG
rnacentral:rRNA from 1 species